rnacentral:rRNA from 1 species
UCCGGAGAGGGAGCCUGAGAAACGGCUACCACAUCUAAGGAAGGCAGCAGGCGCGCAAAUUACCCAAUUCUAACAGUUUGAGAGAGGUAGUAACAAGAAAUAACAAUACAAGGCAGUUAAAAUGCUUUGUAAUUGGAAUGAUAGAAAUUUAAACCCUUUUUAAAGUAUCAAUUGGAGGGCAAGUCUGGUGCCAGCAGCCGCGGUAAUUCCAGCUCCAAUAGCGUAUAUUAAAAUUGUUGCAGUUAAAAAGCUCGUAGUUGAAGUUCUGCUGAAAGUAACCGGUCUGCUUUUAAUAAAAGUGGUAUCUUGGUAUGUAUUUAGCAAUGAUGUCCUUUGAAGUGUUUUUUACUUUAUUGUAAUAAAGCAUAUUCAGGACUUUUACUUUGAGAAAAUUAGAGUGUUUCUAGCAGGCUGACGCUUUGAAUACUGCAGCAUGGAAUAAUAAGAUAGGAUUUUAGUUCUACAUUAUUGGUUUUAAG